AGAGAAAAGUUAAAGUCUUUGG
rnacentral:miRNA from 1 species